CAACCCUCAGGCCUCAAGUUGCCUGGUGUUGGGGCACCUACCGUCACUCGUAGGCCCCGAAGAACAGUGGCAGUGCUCGCCAGCACUCCGGGCGCAGUAAUCUUUUCCUCGCCUAGGACGUCUGGUAGCUUACUAGCCGUAAAACCCCACUAUAUUAUCAAAGG
rnacentral:misc_RNA from 1 species